UGUUGGAGUUCAGUGGCAAGAUCACAGCUCAUUGCAGACUCCUGGGCUUGAGUGAUCCUCCGACUUUGGCUUCCCAGAACACUGUGAUUACAGGACAUGUGCCUUGGGAGUCCUGAACCAACAAGAAUUUAGCUACCCUGGAUCACCAUGCUGGUGAGACCACAUGGAACAAACAUACAGAGAUGCCCAAUGAGCUCUAGUUCUGCCAGUACCUAGUUGCUCAAGUCUUCCAGAAAAUUCACAACUACUUGGAUGGUGGAGAGAGAACAACAACAACAAAAAAAGAAAGUCUACAACUAUAUUUUUCCUAAAAAGAAGAAAAGAAUUAGUCUUGUGAGAAUUUUACCGUGCUUAGAUGACAAAACGGAGUGGGAAGCUCUUUUAAACAAUCUAUGCAAAGAGUAGACUCUGCCUAGGUUAUCUUUGGUCCUAAAAAAUAUUUGUUGAAAUCUUCUGUAAUACUAAAAAAUAGUUAUCCUCAAAAUUAAUAUCUCAUGGCCAUAUCUUAUAAGGUCAAAUAGAUCUGGUUUCAAAUUCUGGCUCUGCCAUACAGUAGCUAUAACACAGUGGGAAAAUUACUAAACAGUCUCAGAGGCUGCAUUUUUUUGGCUGAGGACUGUAAGAAUGAGUUACAGGUUAAAA